rnacentral:lncRNA from 1 species
UUUUUUUUUUCAUCUUCAUCGUUGUCAUUUUUUUUUUCUCUUUUUCCUCCUCUGUUGUUGGCCACCAUUGCUUCUAUUUUCGCUUCCAUGGUGGUCGCCGAUGCUACCACCGUCACCUUUACUGCUAUUGCCACCACUUUGUCUUCAUACUUUUCGUUCUCCUUUUCCUCCUUCUCUCAUUUCUCCUCAUACUUCUUAUCUUUUUCUUUUUUUUUUCUCAUCC